rnacentral:rRNA from 1 species
CGUCUGGGCGUAAAGCGUGCGUAGGCGGCGUGUCAAGUCAGGCGUGAAAGCCCUCGGCUCAACCGAGGAAUUGCGUUUGAAACUGGCAUGCUAGAGUCUCGGAGAGGUUGGCGGAAUUCCAGGUGUAGGAGUGAAAUCCGUAGAUAUCUGGAGGAACACCGGUGGCGAAGGCGGCCAACUGGACGAGUACUGACGCUGAGGUACGAAAGCGUGGGUAGCAAACAGGAUUAGAUACCCUGGUAGUCCACGCUGUAAACGAUGGAUAUUAGGUGUCGGGGUUUUACUUCGGUGCCGCAGUUAACGCGUUAAAUAUCCCGCCUGGGGAGUACGGUCGCCAGGCUGAAACUCAAAGGAAUUGACGG